CAACCGUUGCAACUCAACCAAGUACGCCGACGUGAACAGUAUAUCGACGUGAGCAGUAUUUUUCGACGGGAACCAGGUUCAUUUCUACCGGAGUAGGGUUCAAUGCUUAUGGUCACUGAUCAAGUGGGUUGCUAGUGGAGGAAAGAGUUUACACGCUCGGCUAGCAAAU